AUUUACCUUAAAAACCUUUGCGCUAGGAAGAGAUCACGGAGAGCAGCGAAGCGCGGGAAAAAUCGAGGAAUCCUUAGCCAUAAGAUCUCCGUAGUGAAGGCAACGUGACCAAGUGAAUCAAUGUAGGUUUUACAGCUUUUGUAAAUUUUUUUACUAUGUAUAUUAUGUAUGGUUUUCAAAGAGGAUCCAAAAGCUAUAUAUAAAUGUUUUUGGUAAC